rnacentral:lncRNA from 1 species
CUUUAGAUUUUCUAUUUGUUAGGCUUUAUUUUUAUCAAUUUAAGAUGUUUAGCGACAAGCUAAGUGGACACAAUUAGACAUGUUUUUUUUACUAAUUCUAUUGUCCGGUAAACACAAACAAGUUGUUGUGUAAACAACCUAUGUCUAGGUAACCUGGUCAAUUAGGGUUCUAUGUCCUGUCCAGCAUAGACCUUUCCACACCCC